rnacentral:rRNA from 1 species
UAGGGAAUAUUGGACAAUGGGUGAGAGCCUGAUCCAGCCAUGCCGCGUGCAGGACAGAUGGCGUUAUGCGUUGUAAACUGCUUUUGCCAGGGGAUAAAACGGUUCUGCGGAAGCUAAUUGAAGGUACCUGGUGAAUAAGCCACGGCUAACUACGUGCCAGCAGCCGCGGUAAUACGUAGGUGGCAAGCGUUGUCCGGAUUUAUUGGGUUU